ACUGCGAAUGGCUCAUUAAAUCAGUCAUAAUUCAUUUGAUAGUACCUCACUACUUGGACAACCGUGGUAAUUCUAGAGCUAAUACAUGCUAAAAACCUCGACUUCGGGAGGGGUGUAUUUAUUAGAUAAAAAACCAAUGCCCUCCGGGGCUCCCUGGUGAUUCAUGAUAACUUAACGAAUCGCAUGGCCUUGUGCCGGCGAUGGUUCAUUCAAAUCUCUGCCCUAUCAACUUUCGAUGGUAGGAUAGUGGCCUACCAUGGUUUCAACGGGUAACGGGGGAUUAGGGUUCUACUCCGGAGAGGGAGCCUGAGAAACGGCUACCACAUCCAAGGAAGGCAGCAGGCGCGCAAAUUACCCAAUCCCGAUACGGGGAGGUAGUGACAAUAAAUACUGAUGCAGAGCUCUUUAGGGUUUUGCAAUUGGAAUGAGUACAAUUUAAAUCCCUUAACGAGGAACAAUUGGAGGGCAAGUCUGGUGCCAGCAGCCGCGGUAAUUCCAGCUCCAAUAGCGUAUAUUAAAGUUGUUGCAGUUAAAAAGCUCGUAGUUGAACCUUGGGCCUGGCUGGCCGGUCCGCCUCACCGCGUGCACUGGUCCGGCCGGGCCUUUCCUUCUGGGGAGCCGUAUGCCCUUCACUGGGUGUGCUGGGGAACCAGGACUUUUACUUUGAAAAAAUUAGAGUGUUCAAAGCAGGCCUAUGCUCGGAUACAUUAGCAUGGAAUAAUAAAACAGGACGUUGUGGUUCUAUUUUGUUGGUUUCUAGGACCACCGUAAUGAUUAAUAGGGAUAGUCGGGGGCAUCAGUAUUCAAUUGUCAGAGGUGAAAUUCUUGGAUUUAUUGAAGACUAACUACUGCGAAAGCAUUUGCCAAGGAUGUUUUCAUUAAUCAGGGAACGAAAGUUAGGGGAUCGAAGACGAUCAGAUACCGUCGUAGUCUUAACCAUAAACUAUGCCGACUAGGGAUCGGGCGAUGUUAUAUUUUNACUCGCUCGGCACCUUACGAGAAAUCAAAGUUUUUGGGUUCUNNGGGAGUAUGGUCGCAAGUCUGAAACUUAAAGAAA
rnacentral:rRNA from 1 species